UGCCCAGCAACUCCUAUUCCUACCUCCUCGUGGUACCGGCUGGAAACUACGAGCAACCUUAGGGAAGAUCGGAUAACCAACCCCGGUGGGAACUUUGGUCCUAGGCUGACAGGGAACAGG
rfam:Aedes albopictus isolate Foshan contig19246, whole genome shotgun sequence.